GACGAACGCUGGCGGCGUGCUUAACACAUGCAAGUCGAGCGGUAAGGCUCCUUCGGGAGUACACGAGCGGCGAACGGGUGAGUAACACGUGAGCAAUCUGCCCUUCACUUCGGGAUAACUCCGGGAAACCGGUGCUAAUACCGAAUACGACCACUUCAGGCAUCUGAUGGUGGUGGAAAGUUCCGGCGGUGAAGGAUGAGCUCGCGGCCUAUCAGCUUGUUGGUGAGGUAAGGCCCACCAAGGCAACGACGGGUAGCCGGCCUGAGAGGGUGACCGGCCACACUGGGACUGAGACACGGCCCAGACUCCUACGGGAGGCAGCAGUGGGGAAUAUUGGACAAUGGGCGAAAGCCUGAUCCAGCAACGCCGCGUGAGGGAUGACGGCCU
rnacentral:rRNA from 1 species